rnacentral:lncRNA from 1 species
GCUGAUUUAGCGUUCGGCGGUGGCUGGCAACGAUACUAGUGAAAGCCGGCCAAAAUUGACCCAAAAAUGUGUCGGGUUUGACGGGAUUCGGCCGAAAAAUGGCCUUUUCGGCCAAAUCUGUUACAAACAAGGGGUAAGGGGAGAAGGGGCGGCGCGACGACAAGGGUGGCGUCGUCGGCAGCAGGAAAGGGAGAGAGAAAUUUUGUCGGCAUUCUCGAGGAGGAGUUUCUGGCGGGAUCUGGCCGGUUUUUAUGGCGGUUUUCCAUCGGAUUUUGUGCCAAGUGUGAUCGGUAAUGGUAGCGUAGGUAAAAAGGAAGGAGGUUCGCCGGCAAUGAGAAAGGGCAA